GCGGAAAAAGUGUUUCGGGAGUGCUCUUAGGGUUUUCGUAAUAUUUGUGAAUUUAUAGGCCAGAUAGGGACGUCGGGAGGCAUAUAGGGGGGAACAAGCCAUCAUCGAGCGGCCAAGCCCUGGGCUGCACCCUGUUGGCUUGUGCCUCCCUCGUGCGGCCUCUCGUCCACUUCUGAUGCUUGGAGGUCUUCAUAUAGUCCAAAAAAAUCAUAUUAAAGUUUCGUGGCAUUUGGACUUCUUUUGGUAAGGUAAACGUACAAAGC
rnacentral:lncRNA from 1 species